rnacentral:lncRNA from 1 species
CAGGGCGGGGUGGUGUUGGUAGGGUCGGCCGGGGCACCUGUGGUUGGAAGCCUGGAAAACGGGGCGCUGCUGCUGGCGGGGGUCGGGCAAUCCACCUUCCUGACUGCUGGGGUCGGCCGGGGGCUUGUGGAGGAACCAUCCGGAACCUUCGGGUGGGUUGACUCGGAAAUGCCACGGAGGCUUUCCUCUUCUGGUCGGCUUUGAGAGCUUGCAAACAAUCCUCUUGAGAGAUGGCCAGAUUGACCAACUCAUUGUAGGUGUCCACCUUGAU